GCCUAUAAGCCUCUUCUACUAAUUGAGGAAAUUACAUGUUCAGGUUCCUUCGGAGUUGUAUGCUUUUUUUUAUAUAGCAGCAGUUGAUAAAGGAAAUAUCAUAAGCAUAAUAUAAGCGUUUGUUUUGAAAUUUCCAAACUAGAGAAAUUAAUGAAGAGUACUGGUGGAGAAAUAAUUCAAGUUCAAGGAGGAUAACAAUAAUGGUUUACAAAGACAAUUAAAAUGGUUAUCGCGACGGAAAAUUCAUAAUCUUCUUGUUACAAUUUGCAACAGAACUAUAAUCAUUCAGGUUUCAUUCAAUCAAGUAUUGACAAUGAUGCUUUCACGUUUUUCCAACGAGUUUUGUUGGCAAUUCGAUGAAUUUUCAAAGCCACUCUUCUUGUGAUCUCAAGAACAAACAGCUCGACACAGGAUCUUAGUUUUUCUCUUCAUUCAUUCCAAGACAAUUCAGCAGUUGCAAGUGGGAGCUUUCAUGCUAAUUUUGUCCAUGUGUGUGUGACCUGCAAAGGACCAACCGAAGAUGUAAAUCUAUCAUGCAUAUGACAGCUCAAUAGAAUAUGCCAUGUUCUAAGAAUUUUGCACAACGUCAAAUGCAGUGUUUCUGCAUAAACUCACCGACUCUGCAAUGCACAUGAAGGGUAAUUAGAGACCAAGAAGUUACCGCUUCCAUCACUUGGACCUCCUGCAAUGCAAACUCACUUGGGUAAAGAGUAUACCACCCGUAACUUGAACAAAUGCCUGCAAAAAGUGUCCAUCAGCUCAAAGUUCAACAAGUUAACAGCAAAAUAAAUGGUUUGAAGAAAGUCAGCUCGUCAAUGUUGAUUCCUCUGCUCAAUGGCCGGUAUCAAUUGAUGCACAAGAAUCCUGCUCAAAUGCAGUACUUUUAGGUUUUGGCAUUGUUGAGAAAUGCACUAAGCAUGAUACAGUUUCAAACCUCCUAAAAUCAGGAACUGCUGAGCCAAGUACAGAUGGUGCAAAUAUAUCCUUGUUAUUAGACUUGAUGAAGUUGCAGUUGUCAGCCAUUAAUGAACCUCAACAAUCAUUCUCAUCAGACUCGUCAUCUCUUUUAUACCCUAACGACAAAUUCAACAUCAAGAAGCCUUUGCUGUAUUUUCUUCAAGAUUCCACACUUACUUCAAAGGCUACAGUUCAUCUUGAUGGC
rnacentral:lncRNA from 1 species